CCGCGAACCAUCGAGUCUUUGAACGCAAGUUGCGCCCGAGGCCACUCGGCCGAGGGCACGCCUGCCUGGGCGUCACGCCAAAACACGCUCCCAACCACUCUCAACGGGAAUCGGGAUGCGGCAUCUGGUCCCUCGUCUCUCAAGGGACGGUGGACCGAAGAUUGGGCUGCCGGCGUACCGCGCCGGACACAGCGCAUGGUGGGCGUCCUCGCUUUAUCAAUGCAGUGCAUCCGGCGCGCAGCUGGCAUUAUGGCCUUUGAACGACCCAACAAACGAAGCGCACGUCGCUUCGACCGCGACCCCAGGUCAAGCGGGACUACCCGCUGAGUUUAAGCAUAUAAAUAAGCGGAGGAGAAGAAACUUACAAGGAUUCCCCUAGUAACGGCGAGCGAACCGGGAGCAGCCCAGCUUGAGAAUCGGGCGGCUGUGCCGUCCGAAUUGUAGUCUGGAGAGGCGUCCUCAGCGACGGACCAGGCCCAAGUCCCCUGGAAAGGGGCGCCUGGGAGGGUGAGAGCCCCGUCCGGCCCGGACCCUGUCGCCCCACGAGGCGCCGUCAACGAGUCGGGUUGUUUGGGAAUGCAGCCCAAAUCGGGCGGUAGACUCCGUCCAAGGCUAAAUACAGGCGAGAGACCGAUAGCGAACAAGUACCGCGAGGGAAAGAUGAAAAGGACUUUGAAAAGAGAGUCAAAGAGUGCUUGAAAUUGCCGGGAGGGAAGCGGAUGGGGGCCGGCGAUGCGUCCCGGCCGUAUGCGGAACGGCUCUUGCUGGUCCGCCGCUCGGCUCGGGGUGUGGACUGUUGUCGGCCGCGCCGGCGGCCAAAGCCCGGGGGCCCUAGGUGCCCCCGGUGGCCGUCGUCGGCACGGCCGGUACCCGCGCGCCGAAAGGCGUGUCCCUCGGGGCACUGCGCUGCAACGGCCUGCGGGCUCCCCAUCCGACCCGUCUUGAAACACGGACCAAGGAGUCUGACAUGCGUGCGAGUCGACGGGUUCUGAAACCUGGGAUGCGCAAGGAAGCUGACGAGCGGGAGGCCCUCACGGGCCGCACCGCUGGCCGACCCUGAUCUUCUGUGAAGGGUUCGAGUUGGAGCACGCCUGUCGGGACCCGAAAGAUGGUGAACUAUGCCUGAGCGGGGCGAAGCCAGAGGAAACUCUGGUGGAGGCUCGAAGCGAUACUGACGUGCAAAUCGUUCGUCU
rnacentral:misc_RNA from 1 species